rnacentral:lncRNA from 1 species
GUCUCAUGCCCUGAGAUUGCAGUAGGCUGCAUCAUCACCCUGAUAUCCUUUGUCCCUCUACUAAAAAGAGACAGUCUGGGGAGUAGGAAGCUUUCAGGACAGAUAGGAACCAUAGUUCACACUUCAUAGUUCAUACUUCAACAUCUUGUCUGAUAGUGAUGUCUUGUUCAGUCACAUCAUGACUCUUCUUUGGUAUAAACACUGUGUAUCAAUAGUCUGUAGGAUUAGUGGGUGUUAACAGCAAGCAGAAACACGUGAAUAGAAGAAAUAAAAUUGCACAUGGUAAAAUGAAAAGGCAAAUUGGUCUAAAGGAUACAGCUCCCAAACCUCUCUACACCAGGUUUUUCCAGGAGAAAGGAACCAGUCCAUGGGUCUUCUGCAUGACUGAAGAACUGUGCUACAGGCUGUCAGCAUCCUUCCUAGCAUCAGAAAUUUUUAUUUCCUUCUGCACAACCUUACCACCACAGCAGGAGUGGUGACACCUCCUCCCCAUUCUCCCCAGCCUGCCCACACUAAUUCAGCUUGGUAUUUAGCCUUUCGCACCUACCUGUAAAAGAAAAGUGACAGAUUUGAACUCCAUCUGUGAGAGAUGUAUUCAGACUUCAAGUCUUACGCUGUUUUUAUAAAAAGACAGACCAGACUGAUAGGGCACCUGAGAUAAAUCCUUUUCAGCUCUCUCUGGAAACAGGGUGCACAGCUUGAACUGAGGUUGGGUUCAGGUCUGCAGCAGUAGCCUUGGCUCAGAUACUUAUGCUCUGGAAAGACAGAUAAUUUCAAAUAACCCCCUGUUCUUAGUGCUUAGUUCUGCCUUUGCCCAGUCUCAGCAUGCAGUUUUAGCCUGAUAGACUAGACAGCGUGGCUUGUGAGAUCAUCCAUGAAUUUAUGUUAAGUACAUGCAUACAGACAUAUCUACACACAUAUAUAAAUUAUAUUAGUAUGCAGAAGUCAGUACCCAGUUGUCAUCCUCUCAACCUCUCCUCUGAACAAACAAACAAACACAAAUUUACUAAAUAAAAUGGACGCUCCCACAUCCUUCUGGCCA